AUUGAACGCUGGCGGCAGGCUUAACACAUGCAAGUCGAGCGGAGAUGAGGUGCUUGCACCUUAUCUUAGCGGCGGACGGGUUAGUAAUGCUUAGGAAUCUGCCUAGUAGUGGGUGACAACAUUCAGAAAGGAAUGCUAAUACCGCAUACGUCCUACGGGAGAAAGCAGGGGAUCUUAGGACCGUGCGCUAAUAGAACAGACUAAGUCAGAUUGGCAAGUUGGUGGGGUAAAGGCUCACCAAGGCGACGAUCUGUAGCGGGUCUGAGAGGGUGAUCCGCCACACUGGGACUGAGACACGGCCCAGACGCCUACGGGAGGCAGCAGUGGGGAAUAUUGGACAAUGGGGGGAACCCUGAUCCAGCCAUGCCGCGUGUGUGAAGAAGGCCUUAUGGUUGUAAAGCACUUUAAGCGAGGAGGAGGCUACUGAGAUUAAUACUCUUGGAUAGUGGACGUUACUCGCAGAAUAAGCACCGGCUAACUCUGUGCCAGCCGCCGCCGUAAAAC
rnacentral:rRNA from 1 species